rnacentral:lncRNA from 10 species
AGUGAGACUCUAUCUUGAAAGAAAAAAAGAGAGAGAGAGAUUCUUUUUGUCUUCAACUGGGGCUAUUUGUUUACCCCAAGACACACUUCUUACAGAAAGCCUGGCUACCAUGAAGUAUGACAGUGGGUAUAACAAGACUCUACCCUCAGACUGCCCCUCCCAGUUAGUUGGGGCUCUACUGACUAUGACCCAGGCAUGGGAAAAAGACAUGACACUCAUCUGAAAUGAGGUUUUAUUUAGAAGCCGGUCUUUGAAAUAACCCAAGAGCCCGACUAUCAGCAUGGGGAAAUAAGCUCAUAGCUGGACAGACAGCAACGACAUAGAUCCGGUGGAGGUGAAUCUGCAGAUAGAGGAUAAUUGGUCUUGGCUUCAAGGAUGGAAAGAAGCCAAAGAUUGGGAAUUAGGUAUGGCAUUUGAAGGAGUUAAGGACUAUCCACUCCAGACAUAUGCCAAUUUGAUACUUUGAUUAUUU